rnacentral:snRNA from 1 species
GGACAUGAGGGCAGUCUGGCCACAACAUCUGUCACCCUAUAAUGGCCAGAUUGAUUGAGCUGACCUGGCUGGCUAGGUGGGUGUCCCCUUCCUCCCUCAAGGCGCCAUGCACGUCCCUACCAAAGCUGCACACUGGUAGAAGAGGGUGAUCUCCCCCACAGAGAUGGUGUUGUUCAUCAGUCAAGAGUAUACAGUAGCCCUGCUCCCCUGCUAGAACCUCCAAACAAGCUCAAGGUUUAUGGCUAUUUAUGCUGUAACAGCAGUUUCUCUACAGGAACCUGCCAGAGAUGUAAAGAAAGUAUUUUCUG